AAGACAAGGGGUGCCCAACUCUUGGACGUCCCCUCCUUUUUCUGCUAUGGACCACCAGCAAAGGGCGCAUGUUAUGUGCCAUCAAAGCCACAAAAAUCUCAAAAAAAUUUGGAUAAAAUCAGUGCCAUAAUGAAAGAGUUUUGGUUUCCUAAAACUCUAUCUCAUAGAAUUUGAAAUCCAAACUAAUUCCUACUUUGACUUGAUCUACAACCACAUUCCAUGUAAGAGAGAAAGAGAGAAAAGUUUUGGGCGUGCGUAA
rnacentral:lncRNA from 1 species